rnacentral:rRNA from 1 species
AGAGCGAACGCUGGCGGCAGGCCUAACACAUGCAAGUCGAGCGCCCGUAGCAAUACGGGAGCGGCAGACGGGAUAGUAACACGUGGGAACGCGCCCUUUGGUUCGGAACAACUCAGGGAAACUUGAGCUAAUACCGAAUGUGCCCUUCGGGGGAAAGAUUUAUCGCCAUUGGAGCGGCCCGCGUCUGAUUAGCUAGUUGGUGAGGUAAAGGCUCACCAAGGCGACGAUCAGUAGCUGGUCUGAGAGGAUGAUCAGCCACACUGGGACUGAGACACGGCCCAGACUCCUACGGGAGGCAGCAGUAGGGAAUCUUGCGCAAUGGGCGAAAGCCUGACGCAGCCAUGCCGCGUGAAUGAUGAAGGUCUUAGGAUUGUAAAAUUCUUUCAGCGGGACGAUAAUGACGGUACCGCAGAAGAAGCCCGGCUAACUUCGUGCCAGCAGCCGC